AAACUUAGUUGUUCAUAUGAGAAGUAUAAUAUCAAUGAGAAAUCAGAAAUAAUAUACUGCCAUGUUUUAUCUUUGAUGAUUGAAUAUUUAGCAAGCACUCCUUCUGUUUUUAAAAAAACUGGAAUAGUAUAGUAUAUCUCUGUAAAACUCUCCUAGUACUAAACCAACAUGCAACUUUUAUCCCAUUCUCAACUCUCCUGUUUUUCCUUCCACCAAGUUUUUGCUCUUCUCCCCUUCUCAGGGGAGAAGAAUUGCUAAUCCAGUUGGGUUUCAAGUUACUGAUUGGACCACAUUUCUUAGUGGGUGCUUCCUUCUUUUUUCAGUGCCAUGUAGAUACUCUCUCUUCCAUUUCCUUUUUCUUUACAGCUAAUGAACUGCCUCCUCACAGAUGACUAGCCAUCUUGUUCUCUCUCUGUUACUCCUUUUCACUUAAGUGGGUAAGCUGAUUUAGAACUUCCUGCUUCAGGACAGGCGCGGUGGCUCACGCCUGUAAUCCCAGUACUUUGGCAGGCCGAGGUAGGCGGAUCACGAGGUCAGGACUUUUUUUUUUUUUUUUUUUUGAGACGGAGUCUCGCUCUGCCCCCCCAGGCUGGAGUGCAGUGGCGUGAUCUCGGCUCACUGCAAGCUCCGCCUCCCAGAUUUUAGAGCAGUUGAAUUUUCAAAAAGUUGAAUUACUGAGUUAAAAGGUAUAUAUAUUUAUGACUUCCCAAAUUUUUCCCCUUUUCCAAAAAGGAUAAUGCUUAUUCAUAAUGCUAUCACAAUAUAUAAGUAGUAAUCAUAUCUAAAACGUUAAGUCCAAGAACACUGAAAUGUUAAACUGAAGAAGGUAGUAAAUUUCUCUGAGAGUAAUAAAAAUGCUUAUGAAGAGGAUAUUUAACCCUUUGAUUCUAUACCAAAUUUUUCAGAAAUCAGUUAUAUCACACUGCUCAGUCAUGUAGUUGCACAUUUGUUCCUUUUAGAAAGUUAUGUCAAUCAUAGAAGAACAAAAGUUGAUAAGGACAUUAUUAAACAAAGUAAUAUAAAUGACAUGGCAUGGGAUUAUAAAUUUCAGCCAUUCUCAUUUCUCUAAUAUCUUCUGCACAGUGUAGAUAAUUAAGCAUCUGGGCAAAAAUUUACCCACAAGAACAUAUGUGACAAUGUUGUUAAUAAUAACAACAAAAUGGAGACAUGUCUGCUGAGCUUUAGAUGCCUAUCUCUACCUGUUUGCUAAACAUCUCCAUCUCGAUGUUUGAAGGCAUUCUCAAAGUUAUGUCCAAAUUAGAAAUUAUUCUGGGGCUUAGCAUAGUGUCUAGCAUGUAGAAAAUGUUUAAAUGUCUGUCUGAUGAAUGAAUCAAUACAUGAAUUUUUUCCAAUAAAUACACUUCACUUCCUAUAAUCCAUUGUGCUAAAUUGUUUUUCAUCUACCCCGUUACGCAAACCAGAAACCUCAUCAUCCUGGAGUCCACCUUUUUUCCUCCCUUUUAUUUGAUUUGUCAACAAAUUCUCCUGAUUCCACUUUAGAAACAUCCAUUGUCUCUACUCUCCAAACCAUGUCCAUCGUCCUAGUUCACCUCAUUACCAUCUCUCACUUGGAUUAUUACCACAGCUUCUUCCUUGGCCUCCUGCUUCUAGUCUUAGACUUCUUUUACUUUCCUAACAGUAAGCUUUCUAAAACUUAGAGCCAAUUACACUACUCUUCUCAGAAUCCCACAAUGGCUCACCAUACACAGGGCAAAAUUUGAAACCAUCUAGUACGGCUAAUAAGACCCUUCAUAUUACUUGACCCCUGCCUAUCUGCUUAGCCUCACCUCUCAUCUCUCCACACAUCCUGACCACACCUAUUCCACUUCACCCUGCAGCAAUACUGAACUUACCACAGACCUCUCAAUUUUUACUGGUCUUUCAUACUUCUGUACCUCUGCACAUGAUGUCGAAACUGCCUGAUUAGAAUGCCCUCUCUCUCUGAGAGGUUCACAGCAAAUUUUCACUUUUUCUUCAAUAUUCAUCUUAAGAGAAAGUCCUUUGGAAAUAUUAAAGAGGAGGUCAGGUGAGGACAGAAUCAGCUAUACAUCUCUGGUGCGUAGCUAUGUAUAAAGGUACUGGUUGAAGCUAUCAG
rnacentral:lncRNA from 1 species